rnacentral:rRNA from 1 species
CACGGGGGGAGCAAGCGUUGUUCGGAUUUACUGGGCGUAAAGGGCGCGUAGGCGGUCAGCACAAGUCAGUUGUGAAAUCUCCGGGCUUAACUCGGAAAGGUCAACUGAUACUGUGCGACUAGAGUGCAGAAGGGGCAACUGGAAUUCUCGGUGUAGCGGUGAAAUGCGUAGAUAUCGAGAGGAACACCUGCGGCGAAGGCGGGUUGCUGGGCUGACACUGACGCUGAGGCGCGAAAGCCAGGGGAGCGAACGGG